GAUGAACGCUAGCUACAGGCUUAACACAUGCAAGUCGAGGGGAAACGACAUCGCAAGCUUGCUUUUGAUGGGCGUCGACCGGCGCACGGGUGAGUAACGCGUAUCCAACCUGCCCACCACUUGGGGAUAACCUUGCGAAAGUAAGACUAAUACCCAAUGAUAUCUCUAGAAGACAUCUGAAAGAGAUUAAAGAUUUAUCGGUGAUGGAUGGGGAUGCGUCUGAUUAGCUUGUUGGCGGGGUAACGGCCCACCAAGGCAACGAUCAGUAGGGGUUCUGAGAGGAAGGUCCCCCACAUGGGAACUGAGACACGGUCCAAACACCUACGGGAGGCAGCAGUGAGGAAGAUUGGUCAAGGGACGAGAGUCUGAACCAGCCAAGUAGCGUGCAGGAAGACGGCCCUAUGGGUUGUAAACUGCUUUUAUAAGGGAAUAAAGUGAGUCUCGUGAGACUUUUUGCAUGUACCUUAUGAAUAAGGACCGGCUAAUUCCGUG
rnacentral:rRNA from 1 species